rnacentral:tRNA from 1 species
GUGGGUAUAGCUCAGUGGUAGAGCACAUGCUUAGCAUGCAUGAGGUCCUGGGUUCAAUCCCCAGUACCUCCU